rnacentral:rRNA from 1 species
GACGUAGGGUGCGAGCGUUGUCCGGAUUUAUUGGGCGUAAAGGGCUCGUAGGCGGUUUGUCGCGUCGGGAGUGAAAUCCACUGGCUUAACUGGUGGCUUGCUUUCGAUACGGGCAGACUGGAGGUAUGCAGGGGAGAACGGAAUUCCUGGUGUAGCGGUGAAGUGCGCAGAUAUCAGGAGGAACACCGAUGGCGAAGGCAGGUCUCUGGGCCAUAACUGACGCUGAGAAGCGAAAGCAUGGGGAGCGAACAGGAUAGAA